AUGAACGCUGGCGGCGUGCCUCAUCCAUGCAAGUCGAGCGAACGGACGAGAAGCUUGCCUCUCUGAUGUUAGCGGCGGACGGGUGAGUAACACGUGGAUAACCUACCUAUAAGACUGGGAUAACUUCGGGAAACCGGAGCUAAUACCGGAUAAUAUUUUGAACCGCAUGGUUCAAAAGUGAAAGACGGUCUUGCUGUCACUUAUAGAUGGAUCCGCGCUGCAUUAGCUAGUUGGUAAGGUAACGGCUUACCAAGGCAACGAUGCAUAGCCGACCUGAGAGGGUGAUCGGCCACACUGGAACUGAGACACGGUCCAGACUCCUACGGGAGGCAGCAGUAGGGAAUCUUCCGCAAUGGGCGAAAGCCUGACGGAGCAACGCCGCGUGAGUGAUGAAGGUCUUCGGAUCGUAAAACUCUGUUAUUAGGGAAGAACAUAUGUGUAAGUAACUGUGCACAUCUUGACGGUACCUAAUCAGAAAGCCACGGCUAACUACGUG
rnacentral:rRNA from 1 species